rnacentral:rRNA from 1 species
GCUAGUUGGUGAGGUAAAGGCUCACCAAGGCGACGAUCCAUAGCUGGUUUGAGAGAACGACCAGCCACACUGGGACUGAGACACGGCCCAGACUCCUACGGGAGGCAGCAGUGGGGAAUCUUGGACAAUGGGGGAAACCCUGAUCCAGCCAUGCCGCGUGAGUGAUGAAGGCCUUCGGGUUGUAAAACUCUUUUGGCGGGGACGAUAAUGACGGUACCCGCAGAAUAAGCUCCGGCUAACUUCGUGCCAGCAGCCGCGGUAAUACGAAGGGGGCUAGCGUUGUUCGGAAUUACUGGGCGUAAAGCGUGCGCAGGCGGCUUCUCAAGUCAGGGGUGAAAGCCCAGAGCUCAACUCUGGAAUUGCCUUUGAGACUGAGAGGCUUGAGUACGGGAGAGGUGAGUGGAAUUCCCAGUGUAGAGGUGAAAUUCGUAGAUAUUGGGAAGAACACCGGUGGCGAAGGCGGCUCACUGGCCCGAAACUGACGCUCAUGCACGACAGCGUGGGGAUCAAACAGGAUUAGAUACCCUGGUAGUCCACGCCGUAACUAUGAACGCUAGCCGUUGGCAGGCUUGCCUGUCAGUGGCGCAGCUAACGCAUUAAGCGUUCCGCCUGGGGAGUACGGCCGCAAGGUUGAAACUCA